GGAAGUAUUGUUACACUUUACUUAUCAUGGAAGUACAUUUGGAAGUGCACGUGUCUGUGGAAUCUACAGUUUUGUACAAAGCUGCGUGUGCCGCGCUGAUAAACCCCAUGCAAUCGGAAUGCACCUGCUCCAGCAGCACAUCUAACUCCAACUCCACAUCCAACUCCCCCCAAGCCGUUAAGCCAACGCUAACGAGAGCAGAACUUGAUGAGCGCUCAACAGUCUUCAGCCUUAUGGAUGGGAGAUGCAUGGUGUGGCAUGGCUAUGGUAUGGCAUUGGAACGGAUUGGAUUGCAUGUUGCAAAUUGCCGCAUUAGUGACUGCACUUGAGGAGUGCAUCGCUCGAAGAUGUUUGGGGCUGGCUGCCAGACACCAACUAUCAGCUGAACAUGAUGUUUUAAUUCCUCUCUCUCUCUCUCUCUCUCUCUCUCUCUCUCUGUCUCUCUUACUGUUUCCUUUCAGAUACUCCGAACAUUGGAUGGGACUGGAGUACGCAAAUAGUAGUUAUAUUUUGCGGCAUGACGUACGCCGCUUGAGGAUUGCGGUAUUCCGGAACCGAACCGUAGGGACGUGGGGAGGGAUGCCUGGUGUGAAUGAGUGCCUUUCUUCGCAUUGAUUUUCCUUUGCCUAAUAUUUAACCUACAUUUUAUGGGGCGCCACUCGAAUCUCGGUGACACACUUUGGCUCGCAGGAAGUGACUAGACCGGUGUGCUGUGUUAUGGCCAUGACGCGUGCCGGGCCCGGACCCGGUCCUGUGCCUGUGCCUGCACUUUUCCUGCAUCUCAUUACGGCUGGGGACACACUUUAAGAACCGUUUAUAAUUGGAGUCCCCUCGAGGAAAUUGGUAUUGGUAUACGUAUCAUUACACAGAAAAGCCGCGAAAAAUGAACAUUGGAAACGGAGAGCGAGAGCGAUAGAGCCCACGAUGGGACUUUGGCACUGACUGAAAUGGAACUGCCUCCACGGCGCCGCGGCGCGAAUGCUGAUGCCAGUUCAUACACCGAACAUGUCGCAAAGGAACUUUCUGGAUUGGAUCCCAGGGUCGUCGGCUCUGGCAUUCGGCUAGCGCCGCGUCAUCAUGAGCCAGCCAUGACGCCCAUUCAUGCGUCGCCGAAUCAAAAGCUGGGAUAGCUUCGAGACGAAGGACCUACAUAUGUAUCGUAAGCUUCGCCACAAACGAAGUCGUAUCCGAUUUCGACCCGCCAGACGGGGUCCUAUCAAAGUAUCCCAGCCGGACAGAAUCGUAUCCCAGCAGGACAGAAUCGCACCCCGUAGCAUCUGAGUCUAACAAGCCAUCGACAACAAGGACUUUGACUAUGGCAACCAAGC